rnacentral:rRNA from 1 species
GACGAACGCUGGCGGCGUGCUUAACACAUGCAAGUCGAACGGAAAGGCCCUGCUUUUGUGGGGUGCUCGAGUGGCGAACGGGUGAGUAACACGUGAGUAACCUGCCCUUGACUUUGGGAUAACUUCAGGAAACUGGGGCGAAUACCGGAUAGGAGCUCCUGCUGCACGGUGUGGGUUGGAAAGUUUCGGCGGUUGGGGAUGGACUCGCGGCUUAUCAGCUUGUUGGUGGGGUAGUGGCUUACCAAGGCUUUGACGGGUAGCCGGCCUGAGAGGGUUACCGGCCACAUUGGGACUGAGAUACGGCCCAGACUCCUACGGGAGGCAGCGGUGGAGAAUAUUGCACAAUGGGCGGAAGCCUGAUGCAACAACGCCGCGUGCGGGAUGACGGCUUUCGGGUUGUAAACCGCUUUCGCCUGUGACGAAGCGUGAGUGACGGUAAUGGGUAAAGAAGCACCGGCUAACUACGUG